AAGCAAUCAUACUGUGAAACUGCGAAUGGCUCAUUAAAUCAGUUAUCGUUUAUUUGAUAGUACCUUUACCUGGAUAACCGUGGUAAUUCUAGAGCUAAUACAUGCUAAAAACCCCGACUUCGGAAGGGGUGUAUUUAUUAGAUAAAAAACCAAUGCCCUUCGGGGCUCCUUGGUGAUUCAUAAUAACUUAACGAAUCGCAUGGCCUUGCGCCGGCGAUGGUUCAUUCAAAUUUCUGCCCUAUCAACUUUCGAUUGUAGGAUAGAGGCCUACAAUGGUCUUAACGGGUAACGGGGAAUUAGGGUUCUAUUCCGGAGAGGGAGCCUGAGAAACGGCUACCACAUCCAAGGAAGGCAGCAGGCGCGCAAAUUACCCAAUGCUGAUCCAGCGAGGUAGUGACAAUAAAUACUGAUACGGGGCUCUUUCGGGUCUCGUAAUUGGAAUGAGUACAAUCUAAAUCCCUUAACGAGGAACAAUUGGAGGGCAAGUCUGGUGCCAGCAGCCGCGGUAAUUCCAGCUCCAAUAGCGUAUAUUAAAGUUGUUGCCGUUAAAAAGCUCGUAGUUGAACCUUGGACCUGGCUGAUCUGUCCUCCUAAUCGAGCGCACGGAUUCGGUCGGGUCUUUCCUUCUGGGGAGCCCCAUGCCCUUCACUGGGUGUGGUGGGGAACCAGGACUUUUACCUUGAAAAAAUUAGAGUGUUCAAAGCAGGCCUUUGCUCGAAUACAUUAGCAUGGAAUAAUAGAAUAGGACAUCGGUUCUAUUUUGUUGGUUUCUAGGACCGCUGUAAUGAUUAAUAGGGAUAGUCGGGGGCGUCAGUAUUCAAUUGUCAGAGGUGAAAUUCUUGGAUUUAUUGAAGACUAACUACUGCGAAAGCAUUCGCCAAGGAUGUUUUCAUUAAUCAGUGAACGAAAGUUAGGGGAUCGAAGACGAUCAGAUACCGUCGUAGUCUUAACCAUAAACUAUGCCGACUAGGGAUCGGACGGUGGUUUUUUUAUGCCCCGUUCGGCACCUUACGAGAAAUCAAAGUUUUUGGGCUCGGGGGGGGAGUAUGGUCGCAAGGCUGAAACUUAAAGAAAUUGACGGAA
rnacentral:rRNA from 1 species